rnacentral:piRNA from 1 species
UCAUUUAAUGGUGUAAAUAUAUGAAUUGGGU